rnacentral:rRNA from 1 species
UACGUAGGCGGAACUUUAAGUCAGUGGUGAAAUCCUGCGGCUCAACCGUAGAACUGCCAUUGAUACUGAAGUUCUUGAAUGCAGUUGAGGUAGGCGGAAUGUGUAAUGUAGCGGUGAAAUGCUUAGAUAUUACACAGAACACCGAUUGCGAAGGCAGCUUGCUAAACUGUGAUUGGCGCUGAUGCACGAAAGCGUGGGGAGCGAACAGGAUUAGAUACCCUGGUAGUCC